CCUACGGGCGGCUGCAGUGGGGAAUAUUGGACAAUGGGGGGAACCCUGAUCCAGCCAUGCCGCGUGUGUGAAGAAGGCCCUCGGGUUGUAAAGCACUUUCAGUGAGGAAGAACGCCUGGUGGUUAAUACCCAUCAGGAAAGACAUCACUCACAGAAGAAGCACCGGCUAACUCCGUGCCAGCAGCCGCGGUAAUACGGAGGGUGCGAGCGUUAAUCGGAAUUACUGGGCGUAAAGCGUGCGUAGGUGGCUUGAUAAGCCGGUUGUGAAAGCCCCGGGCUCAACCUGGGAACGGCAUCCGGAACUGUCAAGCUAGAGUGCAGGAGAGGAAGGUAGAAUUCCCGGUGUAGCGGUGAAAUGCGUAGAGAUCGGGAGGAAUACCAGUGGCGAAGGCGGCCUUCUGGACUGACACUGACACUGAGGUGCGAAAGCGUGGGUAGCAAACAGGAUUAGAUACCCGUGUAGUC
rnacentral:rRNA from 1 species